UAGUCCAACCACUAUCUAUGCGGGCAUCGAACAUUAGACGCUCCCCGACACGCACAUACGACGCGACGCGCCCCGACACGUUCAGAAGUUCUUGGACAGAAGAGCCGAGAUCUGCCAUCCCUCCGCACCUUGACAUCGUGGCCUUGACUUAAGAACUGCAGGUAAUUGUGCCCUGUGUCAUAUUCAGUCUACAACGAGAGGCGAACCCAAGAAUCGCUGUCCAGUUGAAAAGAGAAAGCCUUGAGAGAUCAACAUGAUGGUGAAGACACUGCUGGUUCUGCUGCUGAUCGCCCUGAAGGAGGCUGGGACAAGCAGUUGCGGUGGCGGUGGUGAUUGCAGCUCAAGAGGUCUCACCAGUGUUCCACAAAACCUAACUGUGUCUUUUUAUUUUGAUUUGCAUAACAAUAGCAUCACCACCUUACAUCCGGAUGAUUUCUAUGAGUAUAGUAACAACAUACUUUAUUUAGACCUUAGAUCCAACCAGAUCUCAAUAAUCAAUAUUGGAACAUUUGUGGACCAAAUUGACCUGUUGGAAAUAUACCUUUCCGACAAUCGGUUGUCUAGUCUUCAAGCUGGCAUUUUUAAUAGUAACCUGUUUAAGUUACACCUUGACGAUAAUCAGUUGUCUAGUCUUCAAGCCAACGUAUUUGAGGGCCUCAACCUGAGGGAAUUGUACCUUCACCAGAAUCAGUUGACCAGCCUCCAGGCUGACAUGUUUCCUGUUCUGGCCUCCAUUUCUACUGUUGUCCUUCACGACAACCCCUGGCAGUGUGACUGUAACAUGCUUCCCUUUAAACAAAUGAUGACAGGUUAUUAUGGCUUCGAAAGCCAGAUCAUAUGUGCUGGACCUGCUAAUCUUGCCGGGAAAAGCUUGCUAAACGAUGUAACAACUGAAGAUCUGAUCUGACCUUGUAGUACCUAUUGGAAGAAUUGUGUCACCAUACAGUUUUGGAAAAAAGCUAGUUGCAAGAGAGGGUGCAGUAAUUGUCGCAGGAAAUGCAGUAAAUGCACAAAAAAGUUUCGGAAGGUGUGUCCAGAUAAAAGUACGCGUUGGAGCACGUGUCUCACAGAUCUCAGGAACAACUGCACCUAAAGACAUAAUUCUAAACAGCAUAAAACAGCCUUUAAAACAAGUUUCAUAAGCUCUAAAACUGGUGUCUCAAUCGCUAAAACAGGUGCCUACCCAAAACUGUAGGUACAUGUAGGUUUAGAGGUGCCUGCCCAAAACUGUAGGUACAUGCGGGUUUAGAGGUGCCUACCCAAAACUGUAGGUACAUGUAGGUUUAGAGGAGC